GUGAGGAAUAUUGCGCAAUGGAGGCAACUCUGACGCAGCCAUGCCGCGUGCAGGAAGAAGGCGCUACGCGUUGUAAACUGCUUUUAACCGGGAAGAAACCCCAGGACGUGUCCUGGGUUGACGGUACCGGAGGAAUAAGCACCGGCUAACUUCGUGCCAGCAGCCGCGGUAAUACGAAGGGUGCAAGCGUUAUCCGGAUUCAUUGGGUUUAAAGGGUGCGUAGGCGGAGCGUUAAGUCAGUGGUGAAAUCCUGCAGCUUAACUGUAGACUGGCCAUUGAUACUGGCGCUCUUGAGUGCGCUUGAAGUGGGCGGAAUGUGCCGUGUAGCGGUGAAAUGCUUAGAUAUGGCACAGAACACCAAUUGCGAAGGCAGCUCACUAAGGCGAUACUGACGCUGAGGCACGAAAGCGUGGGGAUCGAACAGGAUUAGAUACCCCAGUAGUCC
rnacentral:rRNA from 1 species